GCAGGGCUCGAACUCACCAACUGUGAGAUCGUGACCUGAGCUGAAACCAAGAGUUCAACGUUCAACCGACUGACCCCCCAGGCCCUCCUAUGCUAUAUUUUAAAGCAAAGAUUAUGAUGCUUGUUCUACUAUAACGAAGCCCUCUUUCCUGACCCAGGAGCCCCGAGCCACCUGGCAGUGUCCAUGACUCUGAAGGAUUGACAGGCCAAUCCCAGACCUCUCACAGUCUGACAAGACCCAGGCCCGAUACCUCGAUGGGUUUCAUGAGAGCUGCGGUGUCCGAAGAAAGCAGUGGAAGGGAGCUGGUGAGAAGGCAGACAGAUUCAGGAGGUCUGCAAGCUCCCAGGGGAAGCCGAUGCUGUUGGCCUUGGACACGCUUGAGCAGGGUCCUGGGGACGGACGCACUGGACACAAGGCUGGCAUUUACCCCCGUGCCAGGAGUUUGGGACGGAAACUUCCUUAGGCCUGCCACCUGCACCACCCUGCCUCGUAUGGAAUCCCAUUGCCCUGUCCCCACCUCAACAGGCACAGUCUCAAUUCCCAGCUCCAGGGGACCUCUGAGAGAAAGAAAACUCCCGGCAGAAAUAGCCACAUUUGCUUAUGGCCUGUUUGUUCAUUUAUCUGCUCUUCUGGAAACUAAGAAGCCCUUAUUUUUAGCACCUCCCAUGCUGAAGCAUGGAUUUUUUUUUUUUUUCCUUCAAGCUCUCUUAAAAAGUUGACACUUCCCAGCCUAUAAACUGCAAAGUCGUGUCAAGGUUCAACAGAAAGACACAGUGGGGGAAGAGGCCUCCUGUCCCACAAUCCCAGGAAACACUCACAGGAAGAAAGAGUGUCCCUGAAGCAGGCCCCCCGGCAAAAGGCCCCACUCCUUCAACCUUGGCUCACCCUAUGGAGUAGGGGGCGGCUGUUCUGUCUGGAGUCUCCUCCCUGCGUUGACCGCUUGACCAAGUGAAACUAACCCAUGGUAGUUUAUAAGCCUCUCACUGGAAAAAUGUGGGGUGUGUGAGCCAAGCGUGAACCCCCGUUUUAAAAACAUUUGCAAGGGGAUAGUUGUGGCAACCGAGGUUCGAGGCUCGAGAUGUUUCUAGCUCUGACUCACCGCGAGAACUUGGGCAAGUCUGAAUUCUCUGGGUCUCGAUUUCUCUGUGAGGGACAGGGGAAUAAUGAUUGUACACCCCUCUCCCCAGUUACACCCCUAGAACUCGAAAGAGCUGUUGCCCGCUCUACGUGACUAAUUUUUAGCUCAAACAUCCGUGACAUCUCUUAAUGUCCGUACACAAGGAACCAUGAUUCUAGCAGCCGCCUCAAAAACAGACCAGGGGAGUCGUAAUAAUUAAUAAUGCAGUGCUAGGACAUAGAUUUCCAGGGCGGUAAUCUUCUUCGUGCCUCUGUGAGGACAGGGGGUGGCUGGUAUGAGUGAGAACGUCACCAUCAUUAUCAUCAUCAUCAUCACCGUUGAUCUUUGCAAUCAGGAGGUGCAUUCUUCCCUAGAGCCCUCAAGACACUGUGGCCUGGGCUUCCUGUCCCCAGAGCUACUUCUGUUAUGGGAAGUCCCGCCCCCAACACGUGGCACUUGGAAAUUAACACAGAGGGGAGCCAGGGCCCGGACGAGAAGGCCCCAAAGGGAGCUCCGGAGGCGGCCAGAACACCCCGGGGCUGCAGGCUGGGCACCCGAAAAAGACUCAGGUCCCUCUGGUGCCAUCUGACCCACGGUGGGAAGCAGUUGGGGCGGCCGCCAGGCCAGCGCGCCCCCAGGAUCUAUGUCAGUCCCGGCCUGUCCCAAGCAGCCUGGCUGUCCACCAGGCUGUCACCAAACUGACGGAAGACCCAGAUGAGGACGGGCUUUGUGGAAUGUGUUCUCUGAGCGCUCGCUGCCCGAGAGGCUGCCUGACUGAGUUCUUUGGACGGGAAAUUGCAGAGACGAGGCUCCGUGUCCGCGCCUCUCAUCCUUCUGCACCAUACACGCGCCCUUUUUUCUUUCUUCAUUUCCCCAUUUCUCUAAGCUCCUGUGAGUGCUCUGAUUGCCAACCCAAAUCCUGCCUGCCCGUCCAUCAGUAGGUCCCAGCCCCGGUCCUCACUGGUCACAUGACCACAUCCUCAUUGGCCACGUGACGCCUGGUUACAGGGACACUUCACCUUCUCCUUCUACCAAGUUCUAACGACAUAGGAGCACCUUCCUCCUCUCGGUGAAGGGGGCGGGUCUCCAGGGCACAGGAGGCUCUUCUCGGAGCGCCCAGUGUAGUCAGGCUCAGGAAAGGACUCACAGUCUCAGGAAUCCACGGGGCGUCAAGGUUAAUUGCAAAGACCAGGGGCCAGCAAACAGCCUGCGAGCCAAGAACGGCUGUUACGUUUUUAAAUAGUUGAGUAAAAAAAAUAAAAGAAGACUAUUUUGUGACA